rnacentral:rRNA from 1 species
CCUACGGGAGGCAGCAGUGAGGAAUAUUGGUCAAUGGACGAGAGUCUGAACCAGCCAAGUAGCGUGAAGGAUGACUGCCCUAUGGGUUGUAAACUUCUUUUAUAUGGGAAUAAAAUGUUCCACGUGUGGGAUUUUGUAUGUACCAUAUGAAUAAGGAUCGGCUAACUCCGUGCCAGCAGCCGCGGUAAUACGGAGGAUCCGAGCGUUAGCCGGAUUUAUUGGGUUUAAAGGGAGCGUAGGUGGAUUGUUAAGUCAGUUGUGAAAGUUUGCGGCUCAACCGUAAAAUUGCAGUUGAAACUGGCAGUCUUGAGUACAGUAGAGGUGGGCGGAAUUCGUGGUGUAGCGGUGAAAUGCUUAGAUUUCACGAAGAACUCCGAUUGCGAAGGCAGUUCACUGGACUGCAACUGACACUGAGGCUCGAAAGUGUGGGUAUCAAACAGGAUUAGAUACCCUUGUAGUC